rnacentral:rRNA from 1 species
UAUUGCACAAUGGGGGAAACCCUGAUGCAGCGACGCCGCGUGAGUGAAGAAGUAUUUCGGUAUGUAAAGAUCUAUCAGCAGGGAAGAAAAUGACGGUACCGGAUAAAGAAGCCUCGGCUAACUACGUGCCAGCAGCCGCGGUAAUACGUAGGUGGCAAGCGUUCUCCGGAUUUACUGGGUGUAAAGGGAGCGUAGACGGCAGCACAAGUCUGGAGUGAAAUGCCGGGGCUUAACCCCGGAGCUGCUUUGGAAACUGGGCAGCUAGAGUGCAGGAGAGGUAAGUGGAAUUCCUAGUGUAGCGGUGAAAUGCGUAGAUAUUAGGAGGAACACCAGUGGCGAAGGCGGCUUACUGGACUGUAACUGACGUUGAGGCUCGAAAGCGUGGGGAGCAAACAGG